rnacentral:sRNA from 1 species
AAUAAAAGAAAAAAGUUAACUUAAAACCCAAUCAGCAACCUCCAUGAUUCUGAGAACCAGAAGCUGGUUUCUAUGAUCGCAGACACUAUCUUCCAAUGACUUCAUCCUGUCUGUGAGCAGCUUACAGCUCUUUGCAGGUAGAGGGCCAGGAAUUGAAUCUAAGUUUUCAUACAUGGCAGGCAAGUGCCACACAUUGAGCUACAUUCCACGUUCUUUUCCUCUUCUCUAAAUAUUUUUCCUGUUAUCUUAUGCUAUACUUAUUCAGUCUUUUUAUAGAAUGAAUCAUGUCCAAUAAAAAAAGGAGUACGUUUAAAAACAAAACAACCACCACAUCACUCUCACAAACAUUCAACUUUCUGUCUGUAUCCUAAAGCAGGCAAAUUGCAGGCUUAGAAGACAUAUGUAAAGGACAGAAUAUAGGGUGCGGGGAGUGUAAACUUUAGAUUUUAGCCUGGACACAGGUAUAAAGCAUAUACAGUUAAGGAUUGAUUUUGCUGGAGCUGAUUGUCUAUUGUGACACACCUCACUUACAGGCAUAACUGUUACCAUUCUCUCAUAGACCAACCAGAAAAGGCUUACUAAAUAUAAUAUUAAUGGGGUGGGAGGAUGGAGAGUUGGAGGAUGGAGAAUUUUUAAGAGUGCUUUGUUCAUUUUCCAAUGGAUGCAGGUUUGAUUCCCAGUACCCACAGGGUAGCUCAGAACCAUUUGACACUCCUGUUCUAGCCAUCCAAUGUCCUCUUUGACCUCCACAGGCAUUAGACACACAGUAAUGCUGACAUAUAUGCAGGCAAAGCAUCCGUAUAUAUAUAUUUUUUGAUGUUAGUAACGAGAAAAGCAGAUUCCCUUAGGAUCUACCACCUACCACCAUGUCACGUGGUAUUUGGUGGCCCUGUUGCACUUCUUCGUAGUUACCAGGCUUUCGUUUCAAACCCAGCAUGCACAAUGCAAUGACUUUGAAUAUAUCACCUAUACACUUCCUUACUUGUCUGGGUUUUAUUCUUUUCACGUAGCAUCAGAAAGGAAACCAGGGACGAUCCUGUACUAUUUGAUCUCUCCAAGUCCAGCCGCCACACACUUGUGCAGGAAGGACAAGACACUGAGGACCUCCUGCCCAGGAUUGAUACCACCUGCAGUGAACUGGGUCUUCCAACUCAACUGGGUCAAUCAUCAAUCAACACUCUAAAGGCUUGCCUGGAAGCCAAUCUGGG